CGAUCACAGACGGUUAAGUGUUCCUGCUUCCCAGGACAAGUCGCUGGAACAACAAGGGCUGCACCCUCCUGUGUGGAUGUGUCUAUAGUAGCUCAGAAGUGGUGGUGUCAGAUGCAGCCGUGCUUGGAUGGUGAGGAGUGUAAAGUCCUGCCUGACCUCACAGGCUGGAGCUGCAGCACAGGAAACAAGGUGAAGACCACCAAGGUGACCCGAUAGUUCUACGCUCCAAGGAACCACCAGACCCAACUUACUGGGGACAAAAGUGCUGAAAGUGAAGACUAACUAGAGACAGCAUUGAGCUUCAGCUAACAGGAUCCAUCACUAUUAGUCAUACGAAGAUUACUUGCAAUCAAAACAUCUGAGGAACAGACUGAUCUCCAGAAAUAUAUCCACCAUAAACAUUAGGACCAUCCUGAAGUUAAUGUGUCCUCCUCAAUGGACCCCCUGGCCUUCCGGACGCUCAAUCUUCUGGGUGUGGAUCCACAACCUCUGGAAUGUGUUGGCUGGGGGGUCUCGAUGUACGUAUGCAGUUGUUGUUGUUUUUUUACAGAAGAUGUUUGGAUCAUCUACACCAGUGCAGCCCAAUGGAGUUUAAGCUUAUCAGCAACAUGCUCUCCUUCCUUGUCCUUCAGUUCUUCCGGCAAAUCCAUAACCAUCCCUGCUCUACCCGAUCAGAAGGUCCAAUCAUUUCUUGUGGAAUCCUUUAAACAGCAUUUAAACGUGUAAAAUCGAUCUGGACCUUUAACGGACUCAUCUUCUGUAUAAUGUUUGUUUCUAAAUUAAAGCUUUUCAAACCCACAGUCUGAAAUAACAGAUUAGAUGUACCAGUAUAUUCUAGAAAAUGUAAAAGUGUAAAAGAUCGAAGUGUUAUUCUCAAAACAAGCAGAAUAAAGUUUAAAGGUUAUCACUUUUAUUAUCAAUGUUUUUAUCCAGCCUGGUAACUGCUAUUGAGUACAUGUGUCAGUAUUAUAUACAAUAAUUAAAAAUGUCGAAAAGAAUUUUUCUCCAUACUCUGAUUUCAGAGGCUGCAAGCUAGUGAAACCUAAUGGCUUGUUGUGCCACAAAUAACAUGAUUUAUUCAGGUUUCCUCCACCGAUACUGAUACGCAGAAAAUAACAUAAUCAGCAUUAUAUAUGUAUCGUGUUUUCUGACCUUUACGCCUUAAGACAAAACCGCAGUCACUCCAAAUGCACACCCUCAUGUUUCAAAAGG